rnacentral:pre_miRNA from 1 species
GGGGGGGCAGGGAGGUCCCUCAGCCUGGAUUGCGAGAGGGUGCAGGCCAGGCCGAGGGACCCCACUGGUGCAUG